rnacentral:lncRNA from 1 species
GCUGAAUAAAGCCGUGUCUCAUCUACCUGCUGUCUCCCAAGUGUUCUUCCAGCUCCCUGCCCCUCAUCAACCCACUCUCCUCAGACCUCAGCUGGGGCUUGAACCUGAUAAUUGGUGUAGUCAUCAGGAUGAGCUGUACCCUUCAUCACGAAUUUGAUGGACUGCUUGACAAUGGAACUGGAAGAGUACCACUUUGUGGUGGACUUAGCUAAUGCAGUCUUCUCCAUUGACAUUGCUCCAGAGAGCCAGGAGAAGUUUGUCUUCACGUGGGAAGGAUGACAAUGGACUUUCACCAUGCUGCCACAGGGCUGUGUGCAUAGCCCCACCAUUUGUCCUGGUCUUGUUGCCAUGGAUUUAGCUGCCUGGAAAUGCCCAAAAGGGGUCUGCCUGUUUCAUUACAUUGAUGAUAUGUUAACCUCUGAUUCUCUCACAGAUUUAGAAGUGGUGGUGCCCCUCUUGUGACAGCAUUUGGCAGUGUGCAGUUGGGCCAUCAAUAAAUCCAAGGUCCAAGGGCCGGAAUUGUCUGCCAAAUUCUUGGGAGUUAUUUGCUCAGCCACAGGUUGGCAUGCUCCAACAACAUUGUGGACUGGGCUCACACCUAUGCUGAGGUGGCCAAUGUCUCCAACUGUUAGAUCUGCACCACCCUUCCAGCAGCAGCUGUGGAUGGCUUGCCUUGGCAUGUGCAUCCAGCUUUUGUGAAGAACUGGACAUGGCUAGAAACUUGGGGUCCCACAGACAAUGGGCGGGAUGCAACAUGGUGAGCUUUGGAUGGGGGUGUCACAAAACCCAUGGCAAGCCUGCCCCCUGGCUGACUCAUAGCAUCCAUGAUGAAUGGGGCUGGCUAAUGGGAGAAAACAUGGUGGCCCCAUUGCAAGUACCACGAUGUAUAGAGCAACACUGGGGUAAGGUCACUGUGGGAUGGUUGCCUGCUGAGACCUGUGCAAACGUAACACAUGCCACCAUGCCAAGGAUGUGGUGGAACAAGCAGCCCUACCAAGGCUGGGCCCCCAUGGACUUUGUGCCUGCUGGGAGUUUAUAGGUCUGUGGGGACAUAGGAUGGCCAUAUCUGCCAGCCAACUAGACUGGACAUUGUACCUGGGAGUGGCCUUCUGUGCCUGCCACUGUGCUUCCCACAUUGCUUAGUCACACACAUAACUGGGAGGUGCUGUGUUCCCAGUUUUUGUGAGUGCAUUGAGCCCCUAGUGGUUCUACCCCUUAGCAAUAACUGUCCCUGGAACAGGUGUCAUCACUGUAGAAAUGCAGGUUACAGCCCUUGCAGAACACAGAGAUUGGGCCCAUGAAUUACACCUGAGCUGCCCUCCUUUUGUUAAUUGAUGAGUUUGAUCAGAUCAGGAAGGUGGUGAUGCAAAACCGGAUGGCCUUAGACAUAGUCACAGCUGCUCAAGGUGGCACCUGUGCCCUUGUAGGGACAGAGUGUUGUACAUUCAUCCCUGACAACCACCAGAACAUAGUGGCAGCUUUGCAGGGGGUGUCAUGUCAUAGGAGAUUAAGGCAAUUGAAUACCUUACUGAUGACCGCCUGCAGAGAUGGUGGGUGUCUCUGGGCUCUGGCCUACACUGGGCUCUUAUAAUCAUAGGUAGCAUAGCAGGAAUAUUAGUAGUAGGUUGUUGCUCUCUUUAUUGUUGCUGUGGCCUCUGGGUCCAGGGUGCUCCCCUAUGUGCACGAGUUCCCAUUAAGAGGACCCCCUUGGCCUAGGGGGCGGAGUGUAAGGAACAUGGCUGUGUUGCUGCCAGGCAGGCAUAGGCCGAGGUAAAAAUCCUGCAUGACACAGUGGGAUUAGAGCACACGCGCGCAAUCCUGUGCCUGAUAUAAUCACAGCUAGGUAGACAUAACACAGAGAAGCUCAUCAUUUGGCUCUCAGCCACUAUCAUUUGUGAGGUGUACAAAUGUAACACUGACACUGUGAAAGAGCUGCUGAAUAAAGCCAUGUCUCAUCUACCUGCUCUCUCUCGAGUGUUCUUCCAGCUCCCUGCCCCCCGCCCCAUCUACCCACACCCCUCUGACCUCAGCUGGGGCUUGAAACUGACAUUUGCUUUAUUGUACUUUGCAGAUACUUAAAAAAAAAACCAAAUUAAAGUUUUGUGGCAACCCUGUGUUGAGCAAGC